rnacentral:rRNA from 1 species
UACGUAGGGUGCAAGCGUUAAUCGGAAUUACUGGGCGUAAAGCGUGCGCAGGCGGUUUUGUAAGUCUGACGUGAAAUCCCCGGGCUUAACCUGGGAAUUGCGUUGGAGACUGCAAGGCUAGAAUCUGGCAGAGGGGGGUAGAAUUCCACGUGUAGCAGUGAAAUGCGUAGAGAUGUGGAGGAACACCGAUGGCGAAGGCAGCCCCCCUGGGUCAAGAUUGACGCUCAUGCACGAAAGGCGUGGGGAGCAAACAGG